GGGGCUGAAGGGUUUCGACCCAGAUAAGCAAGGUAUAAGCAGCAUGUAGAGGUUGCUGGGAGGCCUCUUAAAACACCUGGCAAAAAAUCAAAUGCUGAAAACUACAAAGUUCCAGCAACGGUGAACGAACUCCUAAGCACCAUGCAAGUGGUGCCGGGGCCAGUUCUACCGGUCGCGUUACCUUUAUAAGGUAACCCGUCAACCGGCCCUUUUCCUGCGGGGGCCGGAUUGGCGACUACAGCAGGAUGGCCCGGAUUGUUAGCCUUUGGCGGUUCGGGCGAGAUUGACAAAGGAUACCUUCCUGAAAUUCCUCCUAUUGAAGUUCAGGCGGGGAAAUUAAAGAUUAGGAUAAACAUGUAGCGGCUCAUUCUUUGAUGUUUGGGGACGCGGGUUCAACUCCCGCCAGCUCCACCA
rnacentral:tmRNA from 1 species